GCACAAACAUGUCAGACACAGCUGAAAGAAUGGAAAUAGACUGGUAGAGAGAGGAAGGCACUGAGCCACAUGAAGGUAUGUGCGUAGGUUUUGUUCAGUGGAAAUAGACUGGUAGAGAGAGGAAGGCACUGAACCACAUGAAGGUACGUGUGUAGGUUUUGUUCAGUGACUUCUUCAGUGUCUCAGCCAGCUGAGCAAAUAAAGACACUACAUAGGCAUAGUUCAUGUUC
rnacentral:lncRNA from 1 species